UCAAAGGGAAGUUGGAAAUGUAUU
rnacentral:piRNA from 1 species